rnacentral:lncRNA from 1 species
CACCCACUCCUCUGCAACCUGGCGACGCUCUGAGACGCUCAGGGACAGGCCUUCUCCUGUUGUGCCAUUCACAAAAAUGUUCUUCACUCCCUGUUCUUUCACAAGAUAAUCCACAUACUGACCAAUUACUGAAAAGUUGAUUUCUCCAUUCUCAGUCAUUGGCGUGAUGGUUGCAGCCACAAGACCCUGAAGUUUCUUCUUUGGGAAGGCCAUUGAGCUGCUGGUAGGUCAGGUAGGUGACCUUGAGCCCAUUAAGUAACCUCUUUCUGCUUCAGUUUCCCCUUCCGCGAGUCAGGCCCCAGCGCCCCUCCGCCCGAACGCCCAGGUCGUCGGGCCGUCUGCGUCCGUCUGUCCUAGCCCGUGCCGUCGCGGGCCGCGCUCACCCAGGCCUCCGCUCUUG